GUCUGUUAUCGAACUAAUCCCUGUAUAUAUAUUUUGUAUGUAUAUUGUAUGUAUAUUGUUUUAGGUAAAACAACAGAGAUCCUGUUAUCAAACAUUCUUAGCUACUCACUUAAUUCUUAGUGAAUAUCUGUGACCUUGCUCGUUCACGAAGCCCGCUAUAGAAAGCAGAGUAUUAAAUUCACUUGACAUUGGCGAAAUCUAAAAGGAAACGCCAUAAACCUAAGAGAUAGAUAGAUAGAUAGACUAAAAAUUAAUCAAAACAUGAUUAAGUCCAAAGUUCAGCAAACUACAAAAAUUUCAGUAUAAAUGUUCUUAUUUAAAAGAACACACAAAUUGCUGCUUCGAACGAAACACUUCAAGGAGUUUUUUACCUCAACAAAAAUAAUAAAUAAUAUGGAUAAUCCACUGGUGACAGUUGAACAAGGAACUCUAAGAGGCUCUAAGAAAACCCUACUCGAUGGAUCCCCAUACUACAGUUUUAAGGGAAUUCCUUAUGCAGAACCACCUAUUGGAGAGCUCAGAUUUCAGGCGCCAAAACCUCGUAAGCCGUGGAAUGGGGUCCUUGAUGCUGUCGAGCACGGACCCGUGUGUCCUCAAUAUGACAUUAGUACUUCUUCAACGAUUGAAGGAAACGAAGAUUGUUUGUAUUUAAACGUUUAUACCAGAUCUUUACAGUCGGAUAGUAAAAUACCAGUCAUGGUAUACAUUCACGGCGGAGGCUACUCGUCUGGUUCGGGCAAUUCGGGAAUGUACGGCCCGGAGUUCAUUAUUCAGCACAACGUUGUUCUGGUCACGAUAAACUAUAGACUCGAACUUUUGGGUUUUCUUAGUUUAGACACGGCCGAAGUUCCAGGCAACGCCGGGAUGAAGGAUCAGGUUGCCGCGUUGCGAUGGGUCAAAGGUAACAUCGUAAGGUUUGGCGGUGAUCCUGAUAAUGUAACAAUUUUCGGGGAAAGUGCGGGGGCCGCGUCCGUCACGUAUCACAUGCUUUCACCAAUGUCGAAAGGUCUGUUCCAUAAGGUAAUCGCUCAAAGCGGUGUUUGUAUUAACGACUGGGCGAUAGGCAACAAAACCUUGGAAAGAGUAUACAGAGUUGCGAAUUUAUUAGGUAAAGAGUGUAGUGAUGUACAAGAUUUGUUGGAGUUUUUGAGGAGCGUUGAUCCUCUCAAGCUAACCUGCGUGACUUACAGAACAAGGACGCAAGAUGAAAAGUACAGAGGACUGCCAAUGUACUUUGUUCCGAUUGUAGAGAAGAAAUUCGAUGGUGUCGAAGCAUUUUUGAGCGAGGAACCAAUCGAGACGCUUAUGUCUGGUAAUAUUAACAACGUACCGAUACUGUUGGGCUACAAUAAAUCUGAAGGAGUGUUGAUGGUGGCGGAUGUAUUAAAAAAAAAAGAAAUUAUGAACGAAAAGCCUUCGUUUAUUGUACCUAGGGAAAUAGCGCAAACCGUUUCCGAAGAGAAAAUAAAGGAAUUUGGUGAGAGGAUCAAGAGAUUUUACUUUGGUGACGAGGGAAUAUCAGCGGACAACACAGCAACAAUUGUCGAUUUUCAAACAGAUCUCUAUUUUGCAUACAACGUCCAUAGAUUUGCAUAUUUAUACAGCGUUUACAAUUAUCCAAUUUAUUUAUACAGAUUCGAUUAUGAAACUGAAUUGAAUUUCAUUAAAAACGCGUUAGGCCAGGGCGGAAUAAAAGGUGCAGCCCACGCCGACGACCUGUUCUAUUUCUUUUACAAUCCCAUAAACAAACAUUUGAUUGGAGAUGAGCGAUUGAAGAUAAUAAUUUACGAAGUAACGAAACUUUGGACUGAUUUUAGUAAAACGGGGUAAGUAAUUUUUUAAAGACGAAUUUAUAAAUUUCACUUAGAGUUAAAAAAUAGGCCUUACUAUCGCAUCUUUCGUAUCAUAUCGUUUUAUUAUUCUACAUUCAUAAUUCGAAAAUUUAAUACAUAUUUAUUAAUUCAGUCAUAACUUCACAGUAUAUUUCAAUACAUUGCCCACGCUCAAUAGUUUUAUAAACGACCUAUUGAAUUUUCUAGAUGCGUCUCAUUCUUUAUUUCGUAAACAGAUUUGAACGACUCAUCGACUUUUAAAAAUCAAUUAUACGUAGAUUAUAGAUGAUCAUAUAGAUGAUUCAUCAAAAUAAAUAUUCAUUGUUUAUAUUAACAUAAAAAAAAUAUACUAAGAUAUAUUCGAGUUAUCAUUAAAACAGGGAAAAUAAAACUAUAAUUCAAAAGGUAUAUAUUGUAGCCGCAUCCACAUUAGCCGUGUAGAUGAAUAAAAAAACAUCAUAUGCACAUUCGUUCCUAACCACGCACUUAGCUAUUCCAAGGAAUUAAAAGUAAAUAAUCACAUCUAUUCUUCUUUGCCAAUUGGAUGAAAUUCAAGUAUUCGCGAUACUUACUUAUAUUAAAAGAUGCGAAGUAUGUUCAGAUCACCAAAUUUCUAUGCGCAUUAUGCGCUCUGAUGAGUAAUGACGAGGACUUUUUUACGGAAACGCGAGGUUGAGGAAAUGCGAAGUUGUGUGAACUAUUUUGUAUUACUAGUUAGGUUUAAAUGUGUAAUAACGGUUUAGUAUCUGUGAAAGUGCACAAACGUGGGAAAAUGAAUAAAAGCCGCUGGACGUAAUUCUCGAGUUCUUUCAAAAGGCUAAAGAUUUUCAAGAGUUUUGCAGUGUACGUGAUUGUCCAAUGUGCUUAGUGUGAGUUUUUUUACAUUCUCGAUAGCGUAAAAGUUAACUCAAAUUAUGCAAUGAGAACAGCGUCCCUAGCGGCAAACUUAGGCAAACGUUCCAAUUCCAUACAAAUAUUCGUUAACUGGUGGUAGGACCUCUCGAGUCCACGCGGGUAGGUACCACCACCCUGCCUAUUUCUGCCGCGAAGCAGUAAUGCGUUUCAGCUUGAAGGGUGGGGCAGCCGUUGUAACUAUACCUGAGACCUUAGAACUUAUAUCUCAAGGUGGGGGUGGUGCAUUUAUGUUGUAGAUGUCUAUGGGCUCCAGUAACCACUUAACACCAGGUAGGCUCGUCCAUCCAUCUAAGCAAUAAAAAAAUUUAAAAAAAAACUUACGGGAACGUUACAAAACUCGCAUUAAGCACACAGUUUAAUAAUAAAAUCCUUGUUUGAUAUAUUUCAGAAAUCCAACACCGGACAACGCUUUGGGUGUCAAAUGGUAUCCGUACAGCGUGAACGGGAACAAAAUUAUGUUUUUGGAUGAGCCUUUGAGAUUCGAACAAUGCUUUGAAAUUGAUAGGGUCGAUUUUUGGAACAAACUGUACUCGGAAGCAGGCAGGCCGUGUAUUAAAAAAAGCAAUUUAUGACGAACUAUAAUAAUUAAAUAUAAUUUAAAAAAAUGGUCCAGGUGGUAAAGACUAAUAGUAAGGUUAAAGUGUUGAAAAAUAUGUGCUCAUAAAUUACUAUAAAUUCGUUAAAAUCAAUAGAAUUCGUCUGUGAUAUGUGAAGUUAAAAUGGCUUCGUGAAAAUAAAGUAUUCUUUUUUUUUUCAUAAAAAA